UUCAGUGAUCACAUUUUCAGAGGGACUGUGGCUGCGCUUGAAGUUGUGGCCAGAUCAUCAUCACCAGGAUGUCAAAAAUGACAGUUGUUCAUCUCGGAGUGAUUGUCUUCGCCAUAUGUUUAUCGACAGAGGUGGUCUCCCAAAACACAACAGGAUCCACAUGGGUUAAUGCGACCAGUGCGGGCUCCAGCCUCAACUCCACCACCAUGGCCACAGACCCGUACAGCAGCUCGGCCAACUCCACCUCCCCUACCGGAGCGGGCGUGUCACUGCAGUCCAGCCCCUUCUCUCUCCUGCUCCCCAUCGUCAUGGCGACCUCCCUCCUGCACCGCUACUGUUGAACCCUUGAUCCACCGCCCUAUUACCACAACCACCACCACUCCCCUCAACCGCACUGAACAGAGACCACUAGGCUUACAUCUAAGAUUUCGCCCCACCCACUCAUUCGCCCAAAAGAAAGAAAAUCCUAUUGCUGACAUUUUUCUCCGAAGGGGGGGGUGUAACGUCAGUUGGAGAGGAAGCUGCCACCAUCACCCCCCCCCUUUCAAAUCACUUAUGGAGAAUCAAAGGAAUGGCACUCUUCAACAUGGCUUCCUGCUCCAGCACUAUACUCUGCCAUCCCUCAAGACCUGCGUUUCCAUAGCAACUCCACCAAAACAUCCUGGUUAUCAGUCUGUGGAAUGCUGGGGGAUGUAGGCCUGGAGGACACAGGUGGUUGUCAUGUCACAUGUCUCUCAAAAUGUGGACCACUUUGGUGUACAGAAGUUCUAAUCGUAGUUUUUAAUUAUACCUAGGAAAAUAAUCUGAAAUGUGUUUUGUAUGUGCCCAAAGUGAAGGUUGUGCAUAGGAGAUUAUUAAUAAAGAAAUUCAAACCUCUUUUAAUUAAAAUAUUUUAAAUGGGGUUUUCACGAUUUGGUGCUUUUUAGUUUGUGUUAUUGACAAUGUACCAGAAUGUGUUGUAUGCGAAGAGAAUAACUUUCACACUGGACUUGAGUCUGUAUGCGUAGUGAUUUCUAAAGAUUUUCUGGUCUUUUUCAAGGAGGAUAUAACUAUAUAUCUCCCUUUCAAUGCCUGGGUUGGUCAUAACAAAAUGACUGUACUGUAACCACGUGGGAAAGGAUGACACAUGUAUAUUCCCCCUUAUAGUUUAUAUUUUGUAUAAAUGACAAUGUUAGUUUUUGUUAGCUCUUCCGAAUUAAUGGUACGGAAUAACAAUGUACAAUAAAUUAUAAUAAAUGAUAUUUUGUGUC